rnacentral:lncRNA from 1 species
UUAGGUUUGAGCCGACAAGAGUAAUAUCUCAUGUAGUUCCAAUCCGCGUUUUUGGACUUGGUAGGACUAGGUGGAAACUUAUUUGGGGAUUGAGAUUGAGUGUGAAAAGAAAAAGAAAAAAAAAAAUGGGUUAGAGUAUUUAGGAGAAGGAAGCUGAAAAUCAUAUUCAGGUCUAGUGAAUGUUUGGGAAGCAUAGAAUUGUUAAGUUAUGCUCUAAAAAAAAGAUGGCAACAAAAACAGAAAAAAAAAUUAUAAAAGCCAUAAGAGUUUAAGAAAAACCUGAUUCACUAGACUAGACUCAUAGAGUAUAAGAAAAGCUUCUCCUUAAGAACAAGAGCCAAAGAAAAGAAAGGAUAAAUUGAUCCAAGAAAGAAUAGAAAUAUGCCUUUAGUGCAAAAGGGUAGACUUAGGAUCAUCAAUGGGUUUAGAAAUAGGACCAUCUACUUGUUAUUCACGGUUUAUGUCAUUGGGUAGAUGGGGUACUAUUCUUGUAUGUAUAGGUUGGCACUUACCUUUAGCAUUCUCCUAAAGCUCAGUCCAUUUUCAUUGAGAGUCCCCUGUUAUUAAAAUCUGAACCACCUUAAAGGAACAUUCUUUAUCUCAUAGCCCGUCCUUAGCCAAACGAGUUCACUAACGAUGCACAACUUGAUUCAUGUUUUUGACCUUAAUGAAUGUUAAAGGGAUUGGUUGAUUUUGACGCAUUAUGCAAUCGAGUGUGGGUUUGGAUCAUAACAGAGCAUGGCUAAAGUUUUUAAGUAGAAGUCAUUCACCUCACAUCUUAGAACUAAUAACUUGGACAUUGAGCUUCAUUACUUCAUCACAUGUUUUGGUUCUGAGUCCCCAACUUCAAACCUCUCCUCC